rnacentral:rRNA from 1 species
GACGAACGCUGGCGGCGUGCCUAAUACAUGCAAGUCGAGCGAACAGACCAGGAGCUUGCUCCUCUGACGUUAGCGGCGGACGGGUGAGUAACACGUGGAUAACCUACCUAUCAGACUGGGAUAACUUCGGGAAACCGGAGCUAAUACCGGAUAAUAUAUUGAACCGCAUGGUUCAAUAGUGAAAGUCGGUUUUUCUGUCACUUAUAGAUGGAUCCGCGCCGCAUUAGCUAGUUGGUAAGGUAAAGGCUUACCAAGGCAACGAUGCGUAGCCGACCUGAGAGGGGGGUCGCCCACACGGGAGCGGAGACAGGGUCCAGACGCCUGCGAGAGGCAGCAGUAGGGAAUCUGCCGCAAUGGGCGAGAGCCUGACAGAGCAACGCGGCGUGAGUGAUGAAGGUCUUCGGAGCGUAAAGCUCUGUUAUGAGUGAAGAACAAAUGUGUAAGUAACUAUGCACGUCUUGACGGUACCGAGUCAGAAAGCCACGGCUAACUACGUG